GAUGAUGAUGAUGAUGAUGACAUGGAGCAGGCAACAUACUUUACAUUAUUUGAGGAUUGUGCUCUUUAUUUUCUUAAAAAAACUGCUAACCAACUCAUGGAGGAGAUGGAGAAUGAGACUGGAGAUAGGAAUGGAACCCCUGAGGCACUCACCAUCAUGCUUGAUAGACAAUGUCUUUUUAAAGUUGAGGUGGGUACGAGGUUUGGUGAUCGGACAUAUACUGUGAAGAAAAUAACUGAAGAUGUUGAUAUUAUGGCAAAGUUUUCUAAGCUUUGUCAUGAUGAGGUAAGCGUAUUCUUUUAUGGAACAAAUAUGUAGAUUAUGUAUUGGUUAUUCUUAAAUAAAAUAGAAUUCUUAAUUGAUGUUUUUUUAUGAAAUUUUACGAAGUCGCCUCAACAUACAAGGGUUCUACCAAUUUCACUGAGAAAAAUGCAAAUGAAGAGGAUCAUAUAGAGGUGAUUGAAGAAUCGUGUUCCAAUUCUACGAGCACUCAAAUCACUCCACAAAAAAGGGAUCCUAAUGACCUAUAUCGAGAUCAUGCUGACGGUGAUGAUUUACAAUUGUCAUCAACAAAGAUCUUGAAGAAGUAGAUGACAUUGAACAAUUUGAUUUGGGUUUUUUUAUUGUUAUUUUUCAAUGGAUUAUUUGAAAAGACAUAAACACGAUUAGUUGUUCAUUUUAUUUGGGUAA